CAAAUUAUCAUUCAUCCACCACCCCUCCCCCCCGCCCUUUUUCAGAUANGAUACAAGAGUAUAUUAUCUUUUGAAUGUUCAUGGGAUCUGACCUACAGUCCGGGAGCCCAGGCCCCUGCAUGAUUUUGGAAGGAGGAACCGUGGAUCCCCACGUGUGGAGGACCCGACCUGGACCCGAGCUGGGGGGCCAGACCAGAUGGAAGGAUGGGAACAGGGUCAGGUAGCUGACGAGGCACAGAUGAAGGGACACAUGCUCUCUUCGCAGAGAGCCUGCCAGAGACAGAACUCGGAGAGACAAAGGACAAAGGGGAGAGGGGUCGGCAGAGAUCCAGAGAGGGACACAAAGAGAAAAACGGGACAGGGACAGAGGACAAAAACAGAUAAAGGGGCAGAGGUAAAGAGCAAAUCCUCAGGACAGGCAUCCACGGAGACCCAGAGGGAGACGACCGUGCCAUUCAGAGAGACGAGAGAGCAGGACAGAGAUAGAGGCGGGGGCACGUACCUGGGCAGGGGGCUAGCUUCUCGCUGUCCUGCCCAUGCCAAGCAGGGAUUCUUUCCGGCUUCAGGACAGGGGGCUGGGGAGGGGCAUGGGCCGUGAGGCCUCUUCCAGCCUGAUGUCCCUCCUGGCUGAGUCCCCGACUGUCCGCUCAGCACCUACAGGGCCCUCCAGGCUGCUGAGUCCCCAGCUGGCUCAACCUGGCAGCCUGGGUGCUCUGGAGGCUCCAGCUCCAGGGUCCUUGGGCUCCAGGACUGGUCUGCUAGGGGUGGGGAGGGAGGGAGAAAGGCGCCUGGUACACAGGGCGGGGCAGGAAUUCCCUCCAGAGCCACCCAAACCCAAAAGUUUCUUUCUUAUUUGUUCCUUUGAGAAUGUCUGUCGCAACCUGUUAUUCAGGUUACGGAGCUGUGGGCCAAAGGCACAGGAAGAAAGGUCCCACUGCCUUGCACGCUGGCUCCACCCACCCAGGAGCUGGGACGUUGGUUUCUUCCUGUUUCCUGGAGUCCUCUAUACUCCCAUGCCUUUGGACUCAACUAUGACUUGUCCCAGAACCAAGACAGCUGGAGAGAGGAUUACUCCCUGUCCAGGCGAGGAAGGUAUAGGAAAGCAUCUUGGUGGAACAGGAGGAAGCUGAAGCCUGGAGGGGGUGAGUCUCACAGCUGUGGUAGCAGAGCCGAGAGUCACACCUCAGCUGCAGACAGAAGAUGCAUGACAACCGUGGCAGCUGGUGGGCCUGAGGCUGACCCACGCUCACCAGAUUCCAACAGGGAAGGGCCUAGGUCCAAGCGAGUUCUGUGUGCCUAGAAGUAAGGCUGGACUCUUGAAAAACUAGGAACAAAAGGAUAAUCCUUCACCGAGGAAGGGUCCUAUCCCCAGGCCACUGAGGGCUCACAUUUUCCUUCAUUCGAGCAUUGAGCUUUGGGGCAGGGAUGUGCAGCCACUCUGUGACCCCCAUCCAUGGCCGACCUCAGGAAGUCAGCACAGUGCUUCUCCUGGCCAAGAACAGAAGAGGGCUCAGACUCUCUCCCACCAGUCUCUUGCGGCUGGCCCAUGAGAUCUGUCAUCCUUAGAGUGGGGCCUUCUCUGUGUGGGGCAAGGGGCUGGGUGGACUUGGAGCUGGGGCCUCUUCAUAGCAUUAGCUUUUUUGGGACCAGAGGAAACAUGGCAGAGGAAAGAGCAUGUGCAGAGGCUCAGAGGAGAGGCAGAAUGGGAAACUCUGAAGGUAGAGACCAAAGUGAAGGGGGGAAGGGGACUGUUCAUUAGGGUCCUAAGGACUGGGUUAACAUAAUGACUGUGGGCUUUGUUGUGAGGUGAUGGGGGAGCCACAGGGAGAAUUAAGCAGGGCCAGUGAUAAAACUUCAGCUCAGUGUGGAGACAGUGGUACCUCCUCCAAGAAGCCUUCCCCGGCCUUUGGCUCCUCCAUUACGGAAUCCUUCCAUUAAGGCACCUUGUCAUGCCUCAUGCUCAGCCUAAUGUGGGGGCCUGAGAGCCUUCUUCAUGCACGGCCCGGACGCUAGCACCACAUAGUACAUAGUAGGUGUGCAGAAACCAAACAGGUUUCUUCCUUUUUGGGAAAGAAACUAAGGGAGAAAAGGCCCCAGACACACCAUGGAUGCUCCUUCCAUCGGAGGGGUGUCUUCCCUCACCCCCCUGCGCCCCAUGGUCUUCUCCAAAGUGAACUCCCUCCAAAGAGGACAGGCUCAGACUCUAGCCUCUUCUGGCUAAAUGCAAGCUCAGGCCAUUUUCCUCGUCAGCCCUGGAAGUCCUGCGGACUUAAAGACAUCUCCACAGGUGGCACGGGGUAGGAGGGGGGCAUUUACUCUUCCAUGGGCUUCUUUCUGGCCCCCCCCACCCCGUGCAGGUGGGAUGCCCGGCGCAGGAGGCAGAAGCUGCAGAGGGGCCACAGGGUGUGGGGACACUCUGUGCACCAGGGACACUAAGGCAGAGGGACACAACAGAACGGAAAAGCAGCAGAAACACUAGGACACAGUGACAGACAUACUGACGGAUGCACAUGUGCGCUGGCAUGUGACCCUGCUUAUGUGCAUGCAUGUGCAUGCGCACACACACAUGGGAGUCAGGUACUGAGUGGGACCAGGGGACAUGUGUGACCCUGCCCAGACCCAGUUGUCACCUGCCUUGAGCUUCCAGUCGACCCUCAAGGCCAUCCUGCAUCCUGACCACAAGGCCCAGGCCCAGAAUCAGAAGAACCAGGGGCUGCCUUUCAUUCUCUAAACGGUCCUUCUGGUCAACCCCUGGUAUUUAGGGGCAAUUAACUGAUCAUGUCACCAGUACAGAGGGACAGAAACUGCAAAUGAAUCUGUAAACAAUAAGGCUGGUGGCCCGAACAAUUUGUUUCAGUGACAUUUAUUUUAGAAGGAAAAAAAGCCCGUGAUUCCCAUUUUGGCCUGUUUUGAUUUUAUUUAUUGGUUUGAAUGGCUUUCUCCAGCCCUGGCCAAUUGUAGAAUUACUGGGCCAUGCAGAGCCACCCAACAGGAGAUUCAAGAAGUUGUGAGAGGCACAGGAUUCUGAGGCUUUUUACUCUUCAAGUGCCUGGGAUGUUUCCCAGAACAAGACAAAAAAAAAAAAAACAAAAAACAAAAAACAAACAAAACAAAACACAUGUACCAGCUGCUGCCUUGAAGCUUCCUUAUUUUAAUUAAUUUAAUCAUCAGCAGCUUAAUGAAGAGUUUGGGGAAACUAAGGCACAGAGUGAGAGGUCAUAGCUGGUGAAAGGCAGAGGAAGAAAAGGAUACCAGAGAGGAGCCCAGGAGUCUGCACUCUUAACCACGGUGUCCAACUCCUCUAGACUAGGGCUGGGCAGUUUUCUGAAAAGGACCAGAAGAAAUAUUUUGGGUUUUCUGGGCUGUAUGUUCUCAGUCACAGCUACUCAGCUCUGCCAUCAUAGUGGGAAAGGAGCAGAAGUAGGAGUAUGUAAAUGAAUGAAUGUGGCUACGUUCUAAUAAAACUUAUUUAUAAAAACA
rnacentral:lncRNA from 1 species